rnacentral:rRNA from 1 species
AUUGAACGCUGGCGGCAGGCCUAACACAUGCAAGUCGAGCGAGCGGCGGACGGGUGAGUAAUGUCUGGGAACCUGCCUGAUGGAGGGGGAUAACUACUGGAAACGGUAGCUAAUACCGCAUACCAUCAGAUGUGCCCAGAUGGGAUUAGAUAGUAGGUGGGGUAACGGCUCACCGAGUGGACGAUCCCUAGCUGGUCUGAGAGGAUGACCAGCCACACUGGAACGGAGUCACGGUCCAGACUCCUACGUGAGGCAUCAGUGGGGAAUAUUGCAAAUUGGGCGCAAGCCUGAUGCAGCCAUGCCGCGUGUAUUAAGAAGCCCUUCGGGUUGUAAAGUACUUUCAGCGGGGAGGCGUUACCCGCAGAAGAAGCACCGGCUAACUCCGUGCCAGCAGCCGCGGUAAUUC